rnacentral:rRNA from 1 species
CCUACGGGAGGCAGCAGUGAGGAAUAUUGGACAAUGGGCGCAAGCCUGAUCCAGCCAUGCCGCGUGCAGGAUGACGGUCCUAUGGAUUGUAAACUGCUUUUGCACAGGAAGAAACAACAUUACGUGUAAUGUCUUGACGGUACUGUGAGAAUAAGGAUCGGCUAACUCCGUGCCAGCAGCCGCGGUAAUACGGAGGAUCCAAGCGUUAUCCGGAAUCAUUGGGUUUAAAGGGUCCGUAGGCGGUUUAGUAAGUCAGUGGUGAAAGCCCAUCGCUCAACGGUGGAACGGCCAUUGAUACUGCUAGACUUGAAUUAUUAGGAAGUAACUAGAAUAUGUAGUGUAGCGGUGAAAUGCUUAGAGAUUACAUGGAAUACCAAUUGCGAAGGCAGGUUACUACUAAUGGAUUGACGCUGAUGGACGAAAGCGUGGGUAGCGAACAGGAUUAGAUACCCUGGUAGUCCACGCCGUAAACGAUGGAUACUAGCUGUUGGGAGCAAUCUCAGUGGCUAAGCGAAAGUGAUAAGUAUCCCACCUGGGGAGUACGUUCGCAAGAAUGAAACUCAAAGAGUAAGUGACGUGAGAGAGACGACGACGGACGACGACGGAGGGAGGAGG